UUUGCCACGGCCAUCUUAGCACAUUUGCGUUGAUGGUGGCCGCCAUCUUCUCACAUAUGUGGUGGUGGUGGAGGCCGCCAUCCUCGCCCAUGUAGUCUCUUGGUGCCGCAUGCCUCGCGAUGGUGGUGGGCAUUUUAGCUCAUGUGCCGCGGCCACCAUGUUUGCGUAUGUGUGGCAGCACUGUCCCUUUUCACGAGGGGAGUCACUGGCUGUCUGCCAGGCAGCUGGGUGUUGGUCAAAUCCUACUGGAAGCCGGAGGGCUUGGGAAGCCUGUUUAAUUAAUCAUACCAUAACAGAGGCCUAAAAAAGGACAGAACAAAGGUAAAUCCUGAACUCUUUUAUCUCCCUGCAAAUGUCCUACAGUCUUCACAAAAUAUUCAGAGACUUGAGAUUCAUAAG